CUUUUGCUGGCGACCGGCGCACGGGUGAGUAACACGUAUCCAACCUGCCCUUUACUCGGGGAUAGCCUUUCGAAAGAAAGAUUAAUACCCGAUAGCAUAAUGAUUCCGCAUGGUUUCAUUAUUAAAGGAUUCCGGUAAAGGAUGGGGAUGCGUUCCAUUGGGUUGUUGGUGAGGUAACGGCUCACCAAGCCUUCGAUGGAUAGGGGUUCUGAGAGGAAGGUCCCUCACAUUGGAACUGAGACACGGUCCAA
rnacentral:rRNA from 1 species